UACAGAGGGUGCGAGCGUUGUUCGGAAUUAUUGGGCGUAAAGCGCGCGCAGGCGGGAUGGUAAGUCGGAUGUGAAAGCCCUCGGCUCAACCGAGGAAGUGCGUUCGAAACUACUGUUCUUGAGUGUCGGAGAGGGUGGCGGAAUUCCCGGUGUAGAAGUGAAAUUCGUAGAUAUCGGGAGGAACACCAGAGGCGAAGGCGGCCACCCGGACGAACACUGACGCUGAGGCGCGAAAGCGUGGGGAGCAAACAGG
rnacentral:rRNA from 1 species